rnacentral:misc_RNA from 1 species
UGUUGAACAGCUUUCGACCCAAAUACCAGUUCGUGUUGCUGCCAGUGGCUUUUCUCUUGCUCCUCCCGCUAGGGCUGCUUGCUGAGGACCAUGUGGUUUCGCCUGCCGAGCUUCGGAAAGAAGUCUUGGCGGCUGACCAGGCCCGGACGAAGCAUCUCAAGCAAGUCCAGGACUUCUUCAACUCGGAGCACGUCCGCGAGGCCUUGAAAAGUCUUCCGGUGGAUACCUCCAAAGUCCAACGCGCGGUCCCCUCGCUGAGCGACGAAGAGCUUGCGCGACUGGCCCAGCGCACGGAGAAGGUCCAGGAAGAUUUCGCCGCGGGCGCCCUGUCCAACUUGCACCUGACUUAUAUCGUCAUCGCGCUGGCGGCGGCCGUCCUGGUUGUGGUUUUGAGUUAGAGGACUCAUGUCGCGGGCGUGGGUGCGAUCUUUCGCGAUGGUGCUUGGUUUCGCCGGCUUCAACCUGGCUGCCCGGCCACCGUCGGCUGUCUGGCUGGAUGUGCCCUUUGUCAGACAGGAAAAAAACGGCUGCGGCGCGGCCAGCGUGGCGAUGGUCAUGCAGUAUUGGAUCCGGGAAGGUUUCUACUUUUUCCUCCGCUGGAAAGCGCCGAACCGCACAGAGUUCACGCCGCGCUUUACUCGCCGGGGGCGAAUGGCGCCUUUGCCAGCAGCCUCGAUUCUUACUUGCGCGAUCACGAAUUCCAGACAUUCAUCUUCCGGGGAGAUUGGGCCGAACUCGAGCGCCAUGUCGCUAAAGGACGUCCCCUGAUUGUCUGCCUGCAACCCGGAGGCCGGGAAGAUCAACGGCACUUUCUAGUCGUUGUCGGUGUUGACGACCGACGUGCUUUGGUUCUCGUCAACGAUCCGGCUCGGCGCAAGCUGACUAAACUGAGGCGACAGAAUUUCGAGGAGGAAUGGAAAGCCGCAGACUCCUGGACUCUCCUGGCUCUGCCCGCGGUGGACCGAUAGCUGUCCUCGCGGCCGCUCUGUGCAUUUCUCUCUGGUUGCCAUUCUCCAUUCAUGCCCAGGACCUUCCCGUCGAACCGGGAAUCGUUUCUACGGCGAAGCAUCUCUAUUCUGAAAGACGCUGGGACGAACUCGCCCGACUGACGGAGGCCUCGUCCGGACACCCUGCCGAGGUGGACUUCCUGGGGGGCUUGGCGCUGGCGCGGCUCGAGCGCUGGGACGAAGCUCGCCAGGUCUUCGAGCGUGGGCGGCGCAAGGAAUCCGGCGACAAGAGAUUUUCGAUCGAAUUAGCCGGGGUCGCCUUCAAACAAAAGAGGAAUUCCGAAGCCAAAGCGGCGCUGCGGGAGGCGCUGAAGCUCGACCCGCGGGACAAGUAUGCGAAUGAUUUUCUCGCCACGAUAUACCUGCUGGAAGGCAAUCUCGAAGCGGCGUUGAAAUACUGGAAUCGCGUCGAGAAGCCGGAAAUCGAGGCGGUGAAAGUGGAGCCGGAGCCGCGGGUAGACCCCGUACUGUUUGACCGGGCAUUCGCAUUUUCGUCCGCGAGCAUUCUGCGACUGGAAGAGCUUCGGAGCACCGAGGCGGGCGUCGAUCUCCUCGACGUUUUCCGCCGAUGGCGGUUCGACCUCGAGCCCGCGCAGGGGAGAACGUUUUGACCUGGUCUUCCGAUCCUCGGAAAGGAGCGGCUUGGAACGCCGCAAUUGGACCGCGUUCCUUUCCGCCCUCCGCGGCCUGCCUUACCAGACAGUCUAUCCGGAAUUGAUAAACUUAAACCGUUCGGCCACGAAUUUCACUUCGAUGCUGCGCUGGGACGCGCAGAAGCGCCGCGCCUUCGCUUCCAUUGCCGCACCGCUCGGAGGAAACCCGAAAUGGCGUUACCAGUUUCAUGUCGACGCCCGAAGGGAGAAUUGGGACCUCAGGGAUACUUAUGCGGGAUCCAUCGUCGGCCCGCUGGGCCUGAACAUGCAGACGUUCGAGGCCGGUGCCGAAAUUGAGUCCCGCCCCAGCGGCCGUUGGGGAUGGAGCAGUGCGAUUCUCAUUUCGCAA